rnacentral:rRNA from 1 species
CAUAUCAAUAAGCGGAGGAAAAGAAACUAACAAGGAUUCCCCUAGUAACUGCGAGUGAAGCGGGAAAAGCUCAAAUUUAAAAUCUGGCGGUCUUUGGCUGUCCGAGUUGUAAUCUAGAGAAGUGUUAUCCGCGCUGGACCGUGUACAAGUCUCCUGGAAUGGAGCGUCAUAGAGGGUGAGAAUCCCGUCUUUGACACGGACUGCCAGGGCUUUGUGAUGCGCUCUCAAAGAGUCGAGUUGUUUGGGAAUGCAGCUCAAAAUGGGUGGUAAAUUCCAUCUAAAGCUAAAUAUUGGCGAGAGACCGAUAGCGAACAAGUACCGUGAGGGAAAGAUGAAAAGAACUUUGGAAAGAGAGUUAAACAGUACGUGAAAUUGCUGAAAGGGAAACGCUUGAAGUCAGUCGCGUUGUCCAGGGAUCAACCUUGCUUUUGCUUGGUGCACUUUCUGGUCGACGGGUCAGCAUCAAUUUUGACUAUUGGAAAAAGAUUAGGGGAAUGUGGCAUCUUCGGAUGUGUUAUAGCCCUUGGUUGCAUGCAAUGGUUGGGAUUGAGGAACUCAGCACACGUCGCAUUGUACGUUGCUUAGGAUGCUGGCAUAAUGGCUUUAAUCGACCCGUCUUGAAACACGGACCAAGGAGUCUAACAUGCCUGCGAGUGUUUGGGUGGAAAACCCGAGCGCGUAAUGAAAGUGAAAGUUGAGAUCCCUGUCGUGGGGAGCAUCGACGCCCGGACCAGACCUUUUGUGACGGUUCUGCGGUAGAGCAUGUAUGUUGGGACCCGAAAGAUGGUGAACUAUGCCUGAAUAGGGUGAAGCCAGAGGAAACUCUGGUGGAGGCUCGUAGCGAUUCUGACGUGCAAAUCGAUCGUCAAAUUUGGGUAUAGGGGCGAAAGACCUAAU